GUAGCAAUACGGAGUGGCGCACGGGUGAGUAACGCGUGGAUAAUCUGCCCUUCAGUGGGGAAUAACCAUCCGAAAGGAUGGCUAAUACCGCAUGAGACCACAUGACCUGCGGGUCGAGAGGUUAAAGAUUUAUCGCUGAAGGAUGAGUCUGCGUGGGAUUAGCUAGUUGGUGGGGUAAUGGCCUACCAAGGCAACGAUCCCUAGCUGGUCUGAGAGGAUGGCCAGCCACACUGGAACUGAGACACGGUCCAGACUCCUACGGGAGGCAGCAGUAGGGAAUAUUGCGCAAUGGACGAAAGUCUGACGCAGCGACGCCGCGUGAGUGAUGAAGGCCUUAGGGUCGUAAAGCUCUGUUGAAUGGGAAGAAAAAAAUGACGGUACCAUUUGAGGAAGGACCGGCUAACUUCGUGCCAGCAGCCGCGGUAAUACGAGGGGUCCUAGCGUUGUUCGGAAUCAUUGGGCGUAAAGGGUGUGUAGGUGGCCUUAUAAGUCAGGUGUGAAAGCCCCGGGCUCAACCCGGGAAGUGCAUCUGAUACUGUUUGGCCUGAGUACCGAAGAGGAUAGUGGAAUUCCAGGUGUAGUGGUGAAAUACGUAGAUAUCUGGAGGAACACCGGUGGCGAAGGCGGCUAUCUGGUCGAGUACUGACACUGAGACACGAAAGCGUGGGGAUCAAACAGGAUUAGAUACCCUGGUAGUCCACGCCGUAAACGAUGGGUACUUGGUGUUGGAGGUAUUGACCCCUUCAGUGCCGAAGCUAACGCGUUAAGUACCCCGCCUGGGGAGUACGGCCGCAAGGUUAAAACUCAAAGAAAUUGACGGGGGC
rnacentral:rRNA from 1 species